CCCGCCUGCCCUGUGACUAUAAGUUUAACGGCCGCGGUAUUUUGACCGUGCAAAGGUAGCGCAAUCACUUGUCUUUUAAAUGGAGACCUGUAUGAAUGGCAAGACGAGGGCUAAGCUGUCUCCUUUUCCAAGUCAGUGAAGUUGAUCUCCCCGUGCAGAAGCGGGGAUAAUAUCAUAAGACGAGAAGACCCUAUGGAGCUUUAGACACUAGAAAGCCCAUGUUAAACAACCUCUUUGAAAGGUAGGAACUUAAUGGCACCUCAUCUAAUUGUCUUCGGUUGGGGCGACCGCGGGGGAAAGACCAGCCCCCAUGUGGAAUGGGAGUAUAUUUUCCCAGAGCCGAGAAGGACCUUUCUAAGCAACAGAAAUUCUGACCAAAAUGAUCCGGCAGAGCCGAUCAACGGACCCAGUUACCCUAGGGAUAACAGCGCAAUCCUCUCCCAGAGUCCCUAUCGACGAGGGGGUUUACGACCUCGAUGUUGGAUCAGGACAUCCUAAUGGUGCAGCCGCUAUUAAGGG
rnacentral:rRNA from 1 species